GACGAACGCUGGCGGCGUGCUUAACACAUGCAAGUCGAACGGAAAGGCCCUGCUUUUGUGGGGUGCUCGAGUGGCGAACGGGUGAGUAACACAUGAGUAACCUGCCCUUGACUUUGGGAUAACUUCAGGAAACUGGGGCUAAUACCGGAGAGGAGCUCCUGCUGCAUGGUGGGGGUUGGAAAGUUUCGGCGGUUGGGGAUGGACUCGCGGCUUAUCAGCUUGUUUGUGGGGUAGUGGCUUACCAAGGCUUUGACGGGUAGCCGGCCUGGGAGGGUGACCGGCCACCAUGGGACUACGAUACGGACCAGAAUCCUACGGGAGGCAGCAGUGGGGAACAUUACACAAUGGGCGGACGCCUGAUGCAGCAACGCCGCGUGCGGGAUGCCGGCUUUCGGGUUGUAAACCGCUUUCGACUGUGACGAAGCGUGAGUGACGGUAAUGGGUAAAGAAGCAACGGCUAACUACGUG
rnacentral:rRNA from 1 species